CUACGGGGGGCUGCAGUGGGGAAUAUUGCACAAUGGGCGAAAGCCUGAUGCAGCAACGCCGCGUGGGGGACGAAGGCCUUCGGGUUGUAAACCUCUUUUAGUAGGGAAGAAGCGCAAGUGACGGUACCUACAGAAAAAGCACCGGCUAACUACGUGCCAGCAGCCGGGGUAAUACGUAGGGUGCAAGCGUUGUCCGGAAUUAUUGGGCGUAAAGAGCUCGUAGGCGGUUUGUCGCGUCUGCUGUGAAAAUCCGAGGCUCAACCUCGGACCUGCAGUGGGUACGGGCAAACUAGAGUGCGGUAGGGGAGAUUGGAAUUACUGGUGUAGCGGUGGAAUGCGCAGAUAUCAGGAGGAACACCAAUGGCGAAGGCAGAUCUCUGGGCCGUAACUGACGCUGAGGAGCGAAAGCGUGGGGAGCGAACAGGAUUAGAUACCCCGGUAGUC
rnacentral:rRNA from 1 species